AAUAUAAAAUGGAGCAGAACCAGGAAAUAGAAUUCCAGUCUUCUUCACCUGGAAUUUCAAAGUCUACGAAUCAAAUUUCAAUGCUAACCCUUUUGUUAGCUCCAUAGUUUGAUUUCUUAGUUCCAUAGGUGAUUGCAAAAGUACAAUUUUUUGGUUUAAUUUUGACAAAAUUAUGCCGAAAUCUGGAGGUGGAGUAAUGGCGUGGAACGUGUUUAGGUUCUGCACUGCCCUGCGUGCCCUUGGUUCUAUCAUGAUGGUAUUGGUCUUUGGCGUAAUUGGGCUCACGUAUUAUGUCGUUGUUAUAGCCGAUUAUGGUCCAG
rnacentral:misc_RNA from 1 species